ACGGCUACCUUGUUACGACUUAGCCCCAGUCACCGGUUUUACCCUAGGGCGCUCCUCGCGGUCACGCACUUCAGGUACCCCCGGCUUCCAUGGCUUGACGGGCGGUGUGUACAAGGCCCGGGAACGUAUUCACCGCGCCGUGGCUGAUGCGCGAUUACUAGCGAAUCCAGCUUCAUGGAGUCGGGUUGCAGACUCCAAUCCGAACUGAGACAGGUUUUCGGGUUCAGCGCCGGGUCGCCCCGUGGCAUCCCGCUGUACCUGCCAUUGUAACACGUGUGUCGCCCCGGACGUAAGGGCCGUGCUGAUUUGACGUCAUCCCCGCCUUCCUCGCAGCUUGCGCCGGCAGUCUCCACAGAGUCCCCAGCUUUACCUGCUGGCAACUGUGGACAGGGGUUGCGCUCGUUAUGGCACUUAAGCCGACACCUCACGGCACGAGCUGACGACAACCAUGCAGCACCUCGCAGAAUGUCCGAAGAAAGGCCCCUUUCGGGACCCGUCAUCCUGCGUUUGAGCCCGGGUAAGGUUCCUCGCGUAUCAUCGAAUUAAACCACAUGUUCCUCCGCUUGUGCGGGCCCCCGUCAAUUCCUUUGAGUUUCACCGUUGCCGGCGUACUC
rnacentral:rRNA from 1 species